CCCUAAACCAUCUAAAACUAGUGUCCAAAGAAACUAGUAAUCACUUAUUUUUUCAGUCCCUCAUAAAUAGUGCAUCAAAAAUCAAUCAAAAUCGGUGAAAAAGAAACUAACUUCCAAGCAUGCACUUAGGGAAGUCUCCGCACGAGCAGUGAUGGGAGGAGUGAAAACGAAAAUGAUAGCUUGAGUAACUGAACAUUAAUAGAAAUCCAAUUCGCCCUUCGGGGCAUAAUCCAGUGAUGCAAAUGAUAAGAGUGAGGUGGUCUCAACCUUGGUGGUAAUCGCAGUGUGAUGGUUCGAUUCCUAAGAUAUGAAAUUGGACUCUUUGUGGGUACCAGUGUACGGGCAAACUCUUGUUCCCUGACCUGUUGGGGCACAUCCCGCUAUUUACCUCCCUCACGAUGCUUCAGGGAUAGAGCGGUGAGGGUCCUCAAAGUUGGGAUUCAACCUUUUAGAAAUCCAAUUCCCCACAAACCUAAUGGCAAUUCUUUAAUCAUGACCUUUCUCUACUCUUCUGCUUUAUCACCUCCUUGAGACAAAUUCCAGGCAAGCCUAUCUCUUCCUACCUUAAUUCCUUCCAAUUAGGGAAAUGUAAUUGCUCAGAAAGUUUAAUUACUUUGUCACACCCCCUUUCACAUAUAUAUAACUAUCUAUUAACUUGUGUGGUAAUGAAAUUGAUGAUUCGACCUAUACAUGGAAUUUCACACAUUUUUUUUCACUUGAUAAAAUGACAUAAGCUAAGUCUCUAAACCAAAAUCAUAUCAUUAUAAUUAAACAUAUAUAUUCUAAGGUUAUAAACAUGUCUACAUGCCAUGUCAAAAGAUAUACAACACAGGAUCCCCAACAUACAACAAAAUAGGUCGUAAAUGCAAAAUAGCAGCCCACAAAAUAACCCUAAGGUUGUCGUUCAUGUACAUUGAAUUCUGGAAUCCUGUAAGAGCUCCACAGCUAGCCGUGCUCUCUAUGUAGUUCCAAGCCAACCUACAAUGCAAGAACUAUAUAAGUCAAUGUUUAGUAAGCAAAAAUCAUGCAUGUCAUGAAUAUGAAUAAUAAUGAUAUAUGCCAUUUACUUUAAACAUCACGAUAAAGAAGCAUCAUAUUCCAAUAUGUAUCAAAGUCGACUGGAAAUCAUUUCAUUUGAAAUAUUUUAUUUCAUUGGACCCUUGACCCACCUACUAUGCACCAGAUAGAUCUCUGCAUAAUAUUAAUAUCAAUAAUCAAAUGGCCAAUAUGAAAUCGACACCAGCGAGUGGACCAUUCUCUCAUGACCACUAGAGGCUCAUCCCCUAACUACCCCUAUGAUCACUCAAGAAGUCCCACCCGACAGCGCCAAUAAUCAUAAUAUCACAAGAACACAGUCGAGUGGUCCACCCUCUCGUGAUCUCCAAAGGCCCAUCCCUUGUUUACCUUUGCAAUCACCCAGCAAGUAUCAUCCACUAUGCCAAAUAUAUCACAUAAGCAUGCCCCACAUGCCUCGGCGCCCUAAUAGUGGUCAAUAAAACAUUUAUAAAAAAGACUCACUUUGAAAUCAUGUUUCACAUGCAGGAUUUUCAACCAUGUCAUAUGUCGUGCAUGCAUAUGAAAAUGCUUAUGAAUGACGUAUUUAAUGAAAAUCGAUGUAAAUAGGUUCCGCAACCUCAUACUCAACGAUCAUAACCAUCAUAUGAUGUGCUAUAAGCCUCUUAUCAUAGUUAUGUAAAUAUUCCAAUAUUACCAUAUCACAAAUACUAGGUUCUUGUAUCGUAGUUGGAAAUUGAUUUUUACUUCCCUUUCGCCUUUGUGUAAGCAAGCUUCUACGGAAAUUAGGUCAAUUUCCUUUUUCACUUGAAGUCGAAAAAUCGCCUAUAUUACCAUUUAAUAUUAAAGACAAUCCUUAAUUUAAUAAUCUUAACACACAAAAUUCCAAAAUACAUCCAUUCUCACCAAAAUAAUUUAGACGAAAUUAUCAUUUCAAGUUAUCGAUGGCAUUACAAACUAAUCCCAUAAAUCUCGCUAUUUCUCGAGUCAGUUAUGAACAUCAAUGUCAUCCAAUUGUUGUCGAUAACCUAGUACUCCUUAAAAUAUAUUUUCUAGGCCCAAGAGAUGAUUAAUGGAUAUGUAAAGGUUGAAACCACAUUUAACAAGAAAAUUGACAGAAUCUGUUUUUCAGGUUUCAUCACCGUCCAACUACUUUUCCAAUAAUUUUUCACCCCCUUAUCUAUAUCCAAUGACUCCCAAAUUUUUACCACAUUUCUAUAACAUGUAUGUGAAGGUAAUAAUGCUCUAAAGUCGUGACAAGCAAAGCGUUCUCAGCAUCAAAAUAGUCCAUUUCCACGACACCAAAAUCAGGCAGUUUUCAUUAUGACAGUUUUCGGUUUCCAUUUUAUUAGCAUGUCACCAAUCAGAUUCUAGGCUAUUAGAAGAACAUUUCUAUCCUUAUAAAUCCCAUAUAACAACAUUCAUUUACAUAGAUGCAAGUUAUAUCUUAAGUAUUAUCCAAAAUCAAUGUUUAAACCAUCCAAAUUCAUCAAUCAACACAUCUCUAUUCCUGUAGGUUUCUUUCAUGUUCUUGUACUUGAUUACCCCUCUCUUUUGCCAUCAUAAAAUCAUCAACAACCCUUCUACUUGACCUCAAGUAAGUUUGGAGUUUUAACAUAUUAUAAAACACCCAAAAGGACUAAAGAAAAACUUCAAAACCGUGACUUAAACUAACCUUUACAAACUGCAAUCCCAGCUUCUUAUUUUUCUAUCUCUCUUUGCUUCCUUUGUUCUCUCUUUCACUUGGGUCACUUGGGGAUGUAUUUGGAGGUUUAAAUGUCUUAUCUAAAAGAUAUAUAAGUAGCCUUAAGGAUUGGAGUCGUGAAUGAUGCUUAAGGAUGAAGGAAAGUGUAAUUAAAAGACAAGUAUCCUCAAGCAUGAGCUGUCCAAGCAAGAGGUGAAUUUAUGCAGCCAACUUUGACCUUUUCCUUCCCUUAAACAGUUCCAUAUGUGUCUUAGAAGAUGUGUAGCUAUUCUAUAAUAAGAGUUAAUGGUUUAGAAGACG
rnacentral:lncRNA from 1 species